rnacentral:rRNA from 1 species
AGUGAACGCUGGCGGUAGGCCUAACACAUGCAAGUCGAACGGCAGCACAGUAAGAGCUUGCUCUUACGGGUGGCGAGUGGCGGACGGGUGAGGAAUACAUCGGAAUCUACUUUUUCGUGGGGGAUAACGUAGGGAAACUUACGCUAAUACCGCAUACGACCUACGGGUGAAAGCAGGGGAUCUUCGGACCUUGCGCGAUUGAAUGAGCCGAUGUCGGAUUAGCUAGUUGGCGGGGUAAAGGCCCACCAAGGCGACGAUCCGUAGCUGGUCUGAGAGGAUGAUCAGCCACACUGGAACUGAGACACGGUCCAGACUCCUACGGGAGGCAGCAGUGGGGAAUAUUGGACAAUGGGCGCAAGCCUGACCCAGCCAUACCGCGUGGGUGAAGAAGGCCUUCGGGCUGUAAAGCCCUUUUGUUGGGAAAGAAAAGCAGCAGGUUAAUACCCCGCUGUUCUGACGGUACCCAAAGAAUAAGCACCGGCUAACUUCGUG